rnacentral:rRNA from 1 species
UACGGAGGAUGCGAGCGUUAUCCGGACUUAUUGGGUUUAAAGGGUGCGCAGGCGGAUUUUUAAGUCAGCGGUCAAAUCGUGGGGCUCAACCCCAUCCAGCCGCUGAAACUGGGGAUCUAGAGUGUGCGAGAGGUAUGCGGAAUGCGUGGUGUAGCGGUGAAAUGCAUAGAUAUCACGCAGAACCCCGAUUGCGAAGGCAGCAUACCGGUGCACAACUGACGCUCAGGCACGAAAGCGUGGGUAUCGAACAGG